rnacentral:ncRNA from 1 species
GGAAGUUUGAGGCAAUAACAGGUUUGUGACGCCCUUAGAUGUUCUCGGCCGGACACGUGCUACAUGGAUGUAUUCAACGAGCUUACAGCCUUGGCCGACAGGCCUGGGUAAUCUUUGAAAUUUCAUAGUUAUGGGGAUAAAUCAUUGCAAUUGUUGGUCUUCAACGA